CAGUAGCCGCGGGAACACGGAGGGGGCUAGCGUUGUUCGGAAUUACUGGGCGUAAAGCGCACGUAGGCGGCUUGGUAAGUUAGAGGUGAAAGCCUGGAGCUCAACUCCAGAAUUGCCUUUAAGACUGCCGAGCUAGCAGGUGAGAGAGGUAAGUGGAAUUCCGAGUGUGGAGGUGAAAUUCGUAGAUAUUCGGAAGAACACCAGUGGCGAAGGCGGCUUACUGGCUCAUACUGGACGCUGAGGUGCGAAAGCGUGGGGAGCAAACAGGAUUAGAUACCCCGGUAGUCCCUGUCUCUUAUAC
rnacentral:rRNA from 1 species